rnacentral:rRNA from 1 species
UAGGGAAUCUUCGGCAAUGGACGGAAGUCUGACCGAGCAACGCCGCGUGAGUGAAGAAGGUUUUCGGAUCGUAAAGCUCUGUUGUUAGAGAAGAACGUUGGCAGGAGUGGAAAAUCUACCAAGUGACGGUAACUAACCAGAAAGGGACGGCUAACUACGUGCCAGCAGCCGCGGUAAUACGUAGGUCCCGAGCGUUGUCCGGAUUUAUUGGGCGUAAAGCGAGCGCAGGCGGUUCUUUAAGUCUGAAGUUAAAGGCAGUGGCUUAACCAUUGUACGCUUUGGAAACUGGAGGACUUGAGUGCAGAAGGGGAGAGUGGAAUUCCAUGUGUAGCGGUAAAAUGCGUAGAUAUAUGGGGAAACACCGGGGGCGAGAGCGGCUCUCUGGUCUGUAACUGACGCUGAGGCUCGAAAGCGUGGGGAGCAAACAGG